UACGUAGGGGGCUAGCGUUGUCCGGAAUCAUUGGGCGUAAAGCGCGCGUAGGCGGCCAGAUAAGUCCGGUGUGAAAGUCACAGGCUCAACCUGUGAAUGCCGCUGGAAACUGUCUGGCUCGAGUCCGGGAGGGGCGAGUGGAAUUCCUGGUGUAGCGGCGAAAUGCGCAGAUAUCAGGAGGAACACCAAUGGCGAAGGCAGCUCGCUGGAACGGUACUGACGCUGAGGCGCGAAAGCGUGGGGAGCGAACAGG
rnacentral:rRNA from 1 species